CGUUGUCCGGAAUUAGUGGGCGUAAAGAGCUCGUAGGCGGUUUGUGCGUCGCUGUGAAAACCUGAGGCUCACUCAGCCUGCAGUCGAUACGAGCAGACUAGAGUGUGCAGGGGAGACUGGAAUUCCUGGUGUAGCGGUGAAAUGCGCAGAUAUCAGGAGGAACACCGGUGGCGAAGGCGGGUCUCUGGGCAACAACUGACGCUGAGGAGCGAAAGCGUGGGGAGCGAACAGGAUUAGAUACCCUGGUAGUCCACGCCGUAAACGUUGGGCGCUAGGUGUGGGGCUCAUUCCACGAGUUCCGUGCCGCAGCUAACGCAUUAAGCGCCCCGCCUGGGGAGUACGGCCGCAAGGCUAAAACUCAAAGGAAUUGACGGGGGCCCGCACAAGCGGCGGAGCAUGUUGCUUAAUUCGAUGCAACGCGAAGAACCUUACCUAGGCUUGACAUGCACGGAAAUCCUCCAGAGAUGGUGGGUCCGUAAGGGCCGUGCACAGGUGGUGCAUGGUUGUCGUCAGCUCGUGUCGUGAGAUGUUGGGUUAAGUCCCGCAACGAGCGCAACCCUCGUUCUAUGUUGCCAGGACGUCAUGGUGGGGACUCAUAGGAGACUGCCGGGGUCAACUCGGAGGAAGGUGGGGAUGACGUCAAAUCAUCAUGCCCCUUAUGUCUAGGGCUGCAAACAUGCUACAAUGGCCGGUACAAAGGGCUGCGAUACCGCGAGGUGGAGCGAAUCCCAAAAAGCCGGUCUCAGUUCGGAUUGGGGUCUGCAACUCGACCCCAUGAAGUUGGAGUCGCUAGUAAUCGCAGAUCAGCAACGCUGCGGUGAAUACGUUCCCGGGCCUUGCACACACCGCCCGUC
rnacentral:rRNA from 1 species